UGUGUGUGUGUGUGUGUGUGUGUGUGUGUGUGUGUGUGUGUGUGAACGCGCGCGCGCUCUCGGGCAUACAUGCACACGUACACA
rnacentral:pre_miRNA from 1 species